rnacentral:rRNA from 1 species
AACGCGAAGAACCUUACCUGGGCUCGAACGGCUUUGGAUCGACGGUGGAAACACUGUUUUCCCGCAAGGGACCGGAGUCGAGGUGCUGCAUGGCUGUCGUCAGCUCGUGUCGUGAGAUGUUGGGUUAAGUCCCGCAACGAGCGCAACCCUUGUCCUGUGUUGCCAUCAUUCAGUUGGGAACUCGCAGGAGACCGCCAGGGAUAACCUGGAGGAAGGUGGGGAUGACGUCAAGUCCUCAUGGCCUUUAUGUCCAGGGCUACACACGUGCUACAAUGGACGGUACAAAGGGCUGCCAACCCGCAAGGGGGAGCCAAUCCCAAAAAACCGUUCUCAGUUCGGAUUGCAGGCUGCAACUCGCCUGCAUGAAGCUGGAAUCGCUAGUAAUGGCGGAUCAGAACGCCGCCGUGAAUACGUUCCCGGGCCUUGUACACACCGCAUAC